GACGAACGCUGGCGGCGUGCCUAAUACAUGCAAGUAGAACGCACAGUUUAUACCGUUGCUUGCUACACCAUAGACUGUGAGUUGCGAACGGGUGAGUAACGCGUAGGUAACCUGCCUGGUAGCGGGGGAUAACUAUUGGAAACGAUAGCUAAUACCUCAUAAUAUUAAUUAUUGCAUGAUAAUUAAUGGAAAGGUUCAAUUUCACACCUACAAGCGGGCCUUGCGUUGUAUUAGCUAGUAGGGGAGGUAACGGCUAACCUAGGCGAAGGUACAUAGCCGACCUGGGAGGGGGAUCGGCCACACUGGGAAUGGGACACGGCCCAGACUCCUACGGGAGGGAGCAGGAGGGGAUCUUCGGCAAAGGACGGAAGUCUGAACGAGCCACGCCGCGGGAGGGAAGAAGGUUUUCGGGUCGUAAAGAUCUGUUGUAAGGGAAGAACGGGUGUGAGAGUGGAAAGUUCACACUGUGACGGUAUCUUACCAGAAAGGGACGGCUAACUACGUG
rnacentral:rRNA from 1 species